rnacentral:lncRNA from 1 species
UUAAUUAAACUAAUCCUAAAAAUUUCUAAAUGGCCUAAUUAAUAAAAAUAGAACUAAACAAAAAACAACAAAAUGAAUCAAGAAUAAAAGGAAUAAUGAGCUUAGAUUGGGGGUGUAAGAAGCAAUUAAAAUAAGGCCGAAUGACCCAAAAGACCCACAUAAUCAGUUGUGUUAUUCCUGUUUUGUCUUAUAUGUUAUUUGUCUUAUAUGUCAUGUUGAACCAGUCAUACUGUGACACGUGGCACUGUCUAGAAAAGUGAAAAAAAGA